UGACCUGUGGCUCCUCUCCCAG
rnacentral:miRNA from 1 species